UACGUAGGGGGCAAGCGUUGUCCGGAAUUAUUGGGCGUAAAGAGCUCGUAGGCGGCUUGUCACGUCGGGUGUGAAAGCCCGGGGCUUAACCCCAGUCCUGCUUCCGAUACGGGUGGACUAGAGGUAGGCAGGGGAGAACGGAAUUCCUGGUGUAGCGGUGAAAUGCGCAGAUAUCAGGAGGAACACCGGUGGCGAAGGCGGUUCUCUGGGCCUUACCUGACGCUGAGGAGCGAAAGCAUGGGGAGCAAACAGG
rnacentral:rRNA from 1 species